rnacentral:rRNA from 1 species
CAUGGUUUAGCUAGUCUAAUCAAGCAAAAAGAAAUUCAGUUUGACUCCCCGAAACUAAGUGAGCUACUUUAGGACAGCUUAAUGAGCAAACCCGUCUCUGUUGCAAAAGAGUGGGAAGAUCUUAAAGUAGAAGUGACAUACCUAACGAACUUAGCGAUAGCUGGUUAUUUAGGAAAAGAAUCUUAGUUCAACCUAAAGCUUUCUCAAUACCUCAAAAUAAAUUAACUUUAGAGCUAUUCAAAUAAGUCACAGCUUGUUUGAAACAGGACACAACCUCAACCAGUGGGUAAUUAACCACUUAACUCAAUUAAGUAGGCCUAAAAGCAGCCACCUUUAAAAAAGCGUCAAAGCUUACUUCCUCACCCAAUUAUAAUUCCUUAAUAUACUAAAAACCCCUCAACAGUACUAAAUAAUCCUAUACCUAUAUAGGACUUUUUAUGCUAAAACUAGUAACAAGAAAACCUUCUCUUAUAUGCAAGCAUAAAUCAGAAUAGAAAUACUACUGAUAUUUAACAGCUCUAAUCUAUAGUACUAAACUACUUAGAAAAAUCUACUCAUUUAGCUGUUAGUCUAACACAAGAACAUAAAAAGAAAGAUUAUAAGAAAAAGAAGGAACUCGGCAAACUUUGAUUCCGCCUGUU